CCCUCCGGGGCUCCUUGGUGAUUCAUGAUAACUUGACGGAUCGCAUGGCCUUGCGCCGGCGAUGGUUCAUUCAAAUUUCUGCCCUAUCAACUUUCGAUGGUAGGAUAGGGGCCUACCAUGGUAUCAACGGGUAACGGGGAAUUAGGGUUCGAUUCCGGAGAGAGCGCCUGAGAAACGCGGUCACAUCCAAGGAAGGCAGCAGGCGCGCAAAUUACUCAAUCCCGACACGGGGAAGUAGUGACAAUAAAUACUGAUACAGGGCUCUUUUGGGUCUUGUAAUUGGAAUGAGUACAAUUUAAACCCCUUAACGAGGAACAAUUGGAGGGCAAGUCUGGUGCCAGCAGCCGCGGUAAUUCCAGCUCCAAUAGCGUAUAUUAAAGUUGUUGCAGUUAAAAAGCUCGUAGUUGAACCUUGGGCCUGGCUGGCCGGUCCGCCUCACCGCGUGCACUGGUUCGGCCGGGCCUUUCCUUCUGGGGAGCCCCAUGCCCUUAACUGGGCGUGCGGGGGAACCAGGACUUUUACUUUGAAAAAAUUAGAGUGUUCAAAGCAGGCCUUUGCUCGAAUACAUUAGCAUGGAAUAAUGGAAUAGGACGGCGGUCCUAUUUUGUUGGUUUCUAGAACCGCCGUAAUGAUUAAUAGGGAUAGUCGGGGGCGUCCGUAUUCAAUUGUCAGAGGUGAAAUUCUUGGAUUUAUUGAAGACGAACUACUGCGAAAGCAUUCGCCAAGGAUGUUUUCAUUAAUCAGGAACGAAAGUUAGGGGAUCGAAGACGAUCAGAUACCGUCGUAGUCUUAACCGUAAACUAUGCCGACU
rnacentral:rRNA from 1 species